GUCAGAUGUGAAAGCCCCGGGGCUCAAACCUCGGGAAUUUGACAUUUUGAAACUGGCAAACUAGAGUACUGUAGAGGGGGUAGAAUUUCAGGUGUAGCGGUGAAAUGCGUAGAGAUCUGAAGGAAUACCGGUGGCGAAGGCGGCCCCCUGGACAGAUACUGACACUCAGAUGCGAAAAGCGUGGGGAGCAAACAGGAUUAGAUACCCCUGGUAG
rnacentral:rRNA from 1 species